rnacentral:ncRNA from 1 species
GAUAGAGGUCGCAUUUUUCAUGAGUAUGAUGGCGGAUGUAUCAGGAACAGAAGAAAUCAUCAGAAAGGGAAAGAUGCCGAAAGAAUAAGGUAUCCCUGAAGCCUUGUUCUUGGGCAUGUCGUAAACAGCGGCAUGACUGUCAUCGCAGGAUGGGGAGCUAUCUGA